UACAGAGGGUGCAAGCGUUAAUCGGAAUUACUGGGCGUAAAGCGCAUGUAGGUGGGACAAUAAGUUUGAUGUGAAAGCCCUGGGCUUAACCUGGGAAUGGCGUUGAAGACUGUUGUUCUAGAGUUUGACAGAGGGUCGUGGAAUUUCCGGUGUAGCGGUGAAAUGCGUAGAGAUCGGAAAGAACACCAGUGGCGAAGGCGGCGACCUGGGGUC
rnacentral:rRNA from 1 species